rnacentral:lncRNA from 1 species
AAACAUCCAAAACAAUAAAUGGAACCAAUUGAUGACUGAACCUGAAGCUAACAUCAUGCCCAGCCCACCGACAUACCAUAACCUUUAAUAAUUCGCAGUUAAUCUCCAAAGCCUUACGUAGCUCCAAACACCAAUGAAAUGGUGUCAUCCCAAUUCGUUCUACGUGCACAUGUCUCAGUAAGCCAUUCAUUUUAAUAAUGGUUGAUGAAUCCAAAGAGAUUCGAACCCGC